rnacentral:lncRNA from 13 species
UUUCUUCUCACUAAAUUGUGGUGUUUGGUUAGAAACCUAUUAACACUAGACAUGUACUAUUGUACUGUGUGCUUUAUUAUUAAAGUACAUUAUUGGAGUGGUCUAUCUAGUCUAUCCAGCGGGCUCUGGUAGCCUAAAUGCCUCGUUUACAUGGUGAAGUAUUUCAUUUAUUAUUAAAGUACAUUAUUGGAGUGGUCUAUCUAGUCUAUCCAGCGGGCUCUGGUAGCCUAAAUGCCUCGUUUACAUGGUGAAGUAUUUCAUUUAUUAUUAAAGUACAUUAUUGGAGUGGUCUAUCUAGUCUAUCCAGCGGGCUCUGGUAGCCUAAAUGCCUCGUUUACAUGGUGAAGUAUUUCAUUGCGGUGUAUCUCAACGUAAUGUCAUCUCUUCGGUUUGGCUGUAAACCUGAUUGUCCACUUUUUGGUCACUGUGAAGAUCAAAAUCACUUUUAGGGUCAGGUGUGUUUCUUGAACAGCUGUUGUCUCAGAUAUAUAGUCUAGAUUCUAUUAUAUUCCGAUAGGUAAUGUUUGGAGUAAACAUCAAGUUAAGCAUGUCACAGAAGUGUUUAGCCCGUCACAGAAGUGUUUAGCCCGUCACAGAAGUGUUUAGCCCGUCACAGAAGUGUUUAGCCCGUCACAGAAGUGUUUAGCCCGUCACAGAAGUGUUUAGCCCGUCACAGAAGUGUUUAGCCCGUCACAGAAGUGUUUAGCCUGUCCUUUUUCCAAAGACAUAGAAGGUUGGAAAUAUAGGAUUUGAACCUGACAAGCGCAGAUUUGCCAUCCAAGGUUUCCUUUUUGCCAACUGGGACAAACCUUGCUGUCUGUGCGUGUAAAUAUAGACCUAUAACCUGUAGUGAAGCCAUGUAGGUUGUGAACUCUACUGUGGGUUACUUGGAAAACCAGGCAGUUAUGCGGUCAAAUCCCCAAGGGUGGGGACAGACGGGAAAUCGCUUGCUCAUCCCGAAAGGCUUUACAUGGUCAAUCUGUUAUCUGCGUCGGCCGUGCAGCGGUGAUCUGUCCUCUGAACUAUACGGAGCCCACCACGUUUCUUACAAAAUGUAGAGGCCACGAGGACGCGGCACAGAGCUGAAUUUGGACUCGGGAGACUCCGCCAUUGCGUCACACCCCCCCCAUCCCGCGUCACCGACCACAUUUUCGGUUCAGGCGUGAAUUGGCUUUUAAUCAACAGGAGCGCAUGAGUCAGGACUCUCCACGCUGUUACGCCAGACCACACACACACACACACACACACCCCGCGGUGCAUGACUUGACUAAUCCAAAUCAAGCUCGGUGAGUUCAUUCUUCAGUCAGGUGUUAGACAUGUAGGCUAUAGUAGCCUAUACAGAAUUUACUAUAAUGUCAUAUUUGAGAUUUAAUUAUAUUUUAAGCGUAAAUUAAUUUGUAAUUUAUUGCUUUUAAAAAUAUUUAUCUUGAUGGGAUUCACGAGUGGCGCAGCGGUCUAAGGCACUAAGAGUUAAAUCUGUUUCUGUUUGGUUUUAAUCCUCCU